GGGGAAGGAGGGGAAGAUGGCGGAGUGAGGGGCGGAGGAGGCGGAGGGGCCGGACCGGGCCCCGCGGCCUCGGCCGCGCUCAGCUCAUUGAAGAGGAUGUGGAAUGAUCAAAAACAAUGGUCUGUUUUUCCACAUCUUCAUAAGAAUGGGACUUUCCCAACAGUCUGAGUGUCGAUCCGGUCAACCCAAUGAUCAGCUGAAAUAUCUGAGUGACUCGAGAGAUGUCGCUAGUGAUAUGUACUAUAUUUCCAUUUUCAUGGUCUGCUCACUGCUUCUAACAUAGGAGCUGGAAAUUGGCACUGGAAGACUGUUUCUGGACUUGAUCAACAGAGUGGCUAAGAUCCUCUCCUGACAUUUAGGAAGGUGGUCCUCUUACUUGCUCAAAGGCUGUAAAAUGUGGAUAUUUCUCUUCUAGCAAGCAAAACCCGUCCUUCAUUUCCAUGGAGCUGAACGAACAAAGAUCUCUCCGGUUCUGUUUGAAUCAUCUCACCAAACAUUUGAUUCACCAGAUGACUUCUCCCACAGAAGUAGCCCACUGUUUUAUCAAAACUCAAAAGCAGAGUAACAGAAAUCAGCAUUUAUUUUCCUGAAAAAAUGUCUUCUGUGCCAGCUCUUCAUUCAGUUUUCUGCAUUCUAUUUUAAAAUGAAAAAUACUUGGUAGGCAGUUGCAAGUGGAAGCUGGUGUUUUUCACUGAUAUUUCCUUCUUAAUAUUAGGAGGAUUAAGUACUUUGCCGUGUCAAAUUGGAAUUCCUAGCAGAUAAAGUGUCUGCAUGCAUUGCUGUGUCAGACUGACCUGAUACGUAUGAAAAGUUGCAGCAGGAAAACCAGAACAUUUUCUGUUCUGAAAUGAAGAAGAAACUUACCAAACAACUAGGGGCAUCUCAUACAGGUAUUUUUUAGUCCAGGUCCCAGGCUUGACUUUGUAGAUAGGUGUCAACUCACUUAAGCAGCUAAUGCACAAGAACAAAUAGAGAAUCACCUUGUCUAUACCGUGUAUCCCAGUCUGUGAUCAAAAUGUAUAUUUGCAUGUGUGAACCUAUGUAAGUGCAGGAUAUGAAGAGCUUUCACCUGAAGAAGAAAUUACUCUGCAUAAUUUCAUUUUUAGCAAAGAAAAAGGAAGCUUUGAAGGCCACUGGGGUAACAGAAUAAUGACUAGGUUUGCAUUAAAUCGUUCUCUUCCUCAGGCUUUUAAUGAAUCCUUAGCAUCAAAAGGAACAAGAUCAUUCUACAAUAAAAGAGAUGGGCGGAACAUCUUUCUUUAAUAUAGAAAUUAACUUCUCAUGGGAUGGAAGAGACCAGAGUUGUAAAGUUGCAGUUCAUCCACCUGGCUUCCUCGACACAAUUUCAGCUUUUCCUGCUGCUGAUGGAAUCUUGCUUUUUGAUUCUUUCAUGACUGAGAACUGAGAGGACCUGCAUGUUUCCAUCUAGGUAGAAAUAGGCCCGAGGGAAUGGAAUGUUAGCCACGUGAGAGGGGUGAGUUGAGAGCAGAAAUAAGUAGUACAGUCCUUUUUCUGGCUCUUCUUAUUCCCUCCCAAACUAAGGCACAGUCUGGUUGUUCUUAUGUUUACACGACAUUCUUUGUCUCCAUAAUUCACGAUUAUAUAGGAUGUUUUCUGUCAUUCUGAGAUGAGAGCAUAUAUUGUUUAUGUGCUCCCUGCUGUGGAUUAUCUAUAACAAGUAAGAUUUUUGACAAAAAACUACCAGAACUGGGAUAUGUAUUAUAUUCCACCUCAAAUCUGAAACUCUUCUUAGUGCACCUUAUUCCAAGCUUGUGAUUUAGGAAAUGUGACUUGCUAGCUUAAAAUACGGGAGAUACUAAGUGGUUGGGGAGGUGUUCUAGAUUUCUUGGUUUUUUCUGUUUUUCCUUUUAGAAAACUGCUGGAGAGAGCCAGACAGCCUGAAAAUGGCUGAAAAUUGCAAACAAUUGAAAUCCUUCUCAAAUCUUUGUGAUAGAUUGCCAGGGCAGCAUUCUAGUAUCAAAAAUGUGGUGACAUUUUAUGGGACCAAGUUCCAUAGCACGUUGAGGACAAGAGUUGAUGUUGAUCCUAAUCCUCCAAGUAAUGUCUGUGUUUAGACUUGUUUUGUAACAAAAGGAUUUAAUGACACCUUUACCCAUUUUCUGUUUCCAUGAAGCAAAGAGCAGACACAUAAACUUAAGAGUGGUGGGCUGGAUGCUGCAUAUCAAAGUAACACCAACUUUAAUGAGCGGAGAGGUGCUCUAAAAUGUGUGUGUAACAUUGCGGUGAGCUGUGUGCUAAGAGCUAACAUUGAGCUUGAUGAGGCAACUGCCAGCUUGGCCUGACUUAAGAUUUCUUUGCUGAAUAUGGUCUGAACUUUCUGGCAUUGGAGGCAACUAGAAAAGCACAGUUCCUUUUAGAGCCUCCUUACGUUGAAGUCAAUAGGAUUUAGUUGAGAUGUCUGUAGAAGCAGGAUCCAUCUCUAAGCGAUGGAAAAUACUGUCAAUAUCAUAGGAUUACAGUGAUUGGGAAGUAUGUGGUAUAAGAAAUGUCUGAUUUUAGAUCUGGGAAUUUUCUUUUCUUCCUUCUGCCCAUACUUACCCCUCUGAUGUUAGAGAUAGCAGUCGUUUCUUGCAUAGCUUGAUGACAAAAUACUUGGGGGACAGGAAGGUAUUUUUGUUUUUUGUGGACAUGUACAAAAAUUGCCAAUUUGUCUGACUAAAGAGCUGAUAAUCUAAGCUCCUUAACCUCAAUAUUUUGUAACCCAGCAUUGUAAAAAAAGGUAGAAUUACUGAUUUUUUUUUUUUCUUGACUCAUGUUCAUGACAGUGUAGCAGCAUUAGUUUUCAAGUUUAAUUUUAGAAUGUCGGGAUUUUAUUAGGUUAAGGAUCUGUGACUUUCACAGAAAUAACCCUCCAGUAGUGCAUGCCCAGAAGAUCCCCAUUGUUGUACCUUCCUGGCCAGCACCUUUAAAGAGCUGCUGUGUUUGGAAAUGCUGCUUCAUCUGACUCACUUUUUCUUGCUCUGCUUUUUCUUUGUGUUGGUUGGAAAUCUUCCCAUGUGAAAGAUUACAAAAACAAGGGGCAUGUGCAAUAGCUCAUAUAUAUAUAUAUAUACAUAUAUAUAUUUUAAUACUUGUGGACAAAAUGAUGUUACAAGUUGUUUGAAAACAACAAAAUCACCAAUGUCUUCCAUUUUGAGAUGUGUAUAGUUCCAUAAGCAUUAGUGCUUUGUAGCAAACUGUAGUGCCAUGUUAGGAUCAGUGCAUGAGCCUAGUAGAUUUUUACAAUUUCCGAGUGACAAAUUUAUUAGUAAACAGUAAUGAUAAUGUAAUUAACACUAGAAAGGAUACAAUAGAAAUGUCACAAACAUGGUCUAAACAUGCAGUAUCCUCCCUUUGACAAUGGCAAUGCUAUCCUUAGAAAUGGAACUCAUUCACUUAAUGGGCUUCAUGGAAUCGUAGUUGACUUUUUGAUAUUUGUCUGUCUGUCCAACUGCAGUAGUAAGCUAAGAGUAUGCAAGCAUCCAUAAUUCUCAUCUCUAUCAGUGUGAUUCUUUGCUUUCUAAUCUUCAUUGGUGUUUUCCUCCAUUUUCAAUUUUUUUGAACCAUUUAUUACCCAUCCUAUGAUAUAUUCAGAAAAGUAUGAAUGUGCUAAGGAGUUUGUGUGCAUUCUGUACACAUCUCUUACCUUCAGAUCAUUUACAAAGUCUAUUAAGUAAUCUUUUAUUUGUUUCAGAUCUGACUAUAUGAUUAUUAUAGCUAGCAAAACAUUAUCUUCAUUGUGUAAUAAGUUAAUAGUUGCAAAAUGUGAUGUGCUAAUUAUGCGUGGAAGACUUUUAUCCAUUAUUGCAGGAAUGGGGAACCUUUUUUGGCUGAAGUCCUGUUGAAUCUUAAAAUAACUUUAGUGGAUCCUGCAUUUACAUACAUCUUAUUAAGAGAGAAUACAAUAAGGUCAAAGGCUGUUGGAAAACUAUGUUGCAGGCUGUCUCUGUGCAGCAGGCUGUCUCUAGCCAAUGGAUCAGAGAUUCCCCACCCCUGUAUUAUUGAGAGUUCAAUAUCUUGUAUUUUAGGUAACUUCCAGUUUUGCUUUCCAGCUCUAAGCUCAGUUUUAAUGAUUUCUGUCUCCCUCUGUUUUUUUCAGAAGAGAAGUUUAGACAGGGGAAGUGAAAUUGAUUUAGCACUCAGUGGGCAGCUUGGACUGGUCAAAUAGGAGACUGGUAUGAUUCUCGAGAUGUGCAUUGCUCUGUGGAUGGCAUCCUCUGAUUUCCUAGGAAUUAGUCUUUUAUUUGAUGCCAGUGCUGCUCUUCACGCAUUUCUCUCUUUCAGCUUAGAGAGGAUACUGCAUCUUUUUUUCCUGAGAUCUGCCUGUAAAUGGCCAGUAGGGGGAGGGAGGGAAUGGGUAGCUUGGUUUUGUAAUUUUGGUACGAUAUAUCUUUAAAGUAAUUAAUCAAGAAGCAUGUACUUCUGUGCAAUGACAGUAAUCCAGGCAGAGUUAAUGUAUGUAGCAGGGAAAAAAAACACAAAGAACAACCCAUCAAAACCAACCAAACAACCCUCUGCAUCUAAUAAAUUUCUGAGAAAAUUGGGACACGUGGGCCAUUUACAGCAGAGCUCUGGGGGACCUGUGCUAAGAGUCAGGUUCAAUUCUAAAUGGACGUAGCUGUACCAUUGAAUAAAGUAGUUUAGUGCUUGGGAGAAUCAGUUGAAAAAUACCUCUGAAACUGGAAUGCAAAAUAGCACAGUAUGUAGGGGGAAGAAUCCCUGAUGCAAACAAAGCCAUAAGAUGAUUUAAUAAGAAAAUAGAACUUUAGUAGCAAUAACCGUUUUGCAUGUGAUAGUAAAUAACUUGCAUUAGCAAGACUGUACAGUAGAGUAAGUGGGUAAUAACCAAAUAAGUUUGUGGCGCUCUGUGCUGCGGGGAGUUGUGUGAAGAGUCUUCCUGAGAAGAAGGGUGAAUUCUUCUUAUGUUCCUCAUUGGAGGGAAUUUGGCACUUGAAUACUAAGUUAAUGAACUUGAUAUAUAUAUUAAAAAAAGAAAAAUAAGCUUUGCCACAUGUCUGAAGCACUGUCAGUGAGUGCUGGGGGAAGGGCAGACAGUUCUCUUUGAAACGAUAGCUGAAGUUUCCCGUAAUUUUUUUCUUCUUUUGUAGUCUAGCACUUGCUCUGUUUCUCUGAGAAACGAAACUUUUCCAAAUACUGUACUGUGAUGAGAGCCUGAUUCUAAAGUUAGAAGCUUUUGUGGUGGGGAAGUACUUUCUAUUUUCUUUGUUUAUAAAGACCAAUCUGAGAUAGUCUUUAAGUUAAAAAAAAAAAAAAAAAAUUAAAACAUUAGAAAGCACUUGACACGCAAAACAUUUGUAUAUGCCAAGCACGACUGUAGAAUUCUAAAGAUGUUAUAGCAGAAAAUAAUUUCAGCUUUGCUAAAUACUGUUUCAGACCAAAAUUGAUUUCUGUUGAUGACUGAAGUUUUGCGGAGGAAAGUGCUGUGAAGCCUCUGGUAACACAAAGGGUUAUUGAUCCACACCUGUAGAUCUGCAGCAAACAAAUUAUUUGCUAUCAAAGGGUUGCAUAAAAGAGCCACAGGAGUUCUAAACUGUUUGUAGUUGACACUUUUCAGUGUAGAUACCUUGUCUAUAGACACAGUAUGGCCCAAGAGAUAGUAAUGUAUUCUGAACAGAAUUACUUGAUCAGAGGUUAAGAUCAAUCUGGCUGCAUUUCUUCUGGAAAGCUGACUCUGACUUCCAGCUUAAUGGAAGCUUCUUGUGUUUUUAAAGCAUGGGGGUGAAGCACUUUGGCUCUUCAUAAAUUGAUAAUGGAACUGUGAGGGCUGUGAGCAUUUUUACAGUAUAAAGUAACGGGAUAAGCAUUAGAAUGUCUAAAUUAAGUGUUGGUUAAUAUGUAAUAUGCUUAUGAAAAGCUAAUUGGUCUGAAAGAGUGUAAUCAGCUUAAAUUCCAAGUAUUGAAUUUUUGAUAGGAUUGGAAGCUGGCCAUAGGGGACUUUCAUUUGAUUGCUCUCUGAGUGCAUUAGAGAAAUUAUGAAUCUACCGUGGUCUGUGGUCAGCAAGUACAUUUACAUAAUAAUGAAAUUAUGAUGAAAACAAAGUCACGUUCAUGCUUCAGAAGUACAAACUUGGUGGCUGAACAGAAUUCUUCAGGGGUAUAUCCACUCAGAAAAGGGGGGAGGAAAUAAAGACUGAUGUAGCCAGGCAAACUAUCUACAUAUACUUCCCAGUUCAGGCUUUUAAUAAUGAUCUGAAUUCUGUGGGCUGCUAGACUAGGAAUUACUAUUCACAGCAACAAAAGGAAUCCCUUUGCCUUUCAGCUCUUGUACUGUGGCAUGACUUUUGCUUCAAACCUCUUUGAUUUAACAGCUUCUAAGCCUAAGCGGAAGUGUUAGGUGCUACCAUACUUGGGUGUGGUAUAUAAAAGGUAAAAUGACCAGUAUGGACAUGCCUCCUUGAGCAGUACUAAACCCAGAUGUUACAAAUAUGUUCUGUUUGUAUAUCCUGUAGUGCUGCUGCAGAAAGUCUAGCCAGUACUUAUGUUGGGAAUUGUACCUUCUGAAACUGAGGGUAAUUGUCAAAUUUAGGAGAAAAAAGAAAGUCUUGCAAAGACUUCUUGAUAGUAAGUGAGGAGAAAUUGUACUGAGCUUGAGGAUACUGACACUUUACACGAGGAUUACACUGUCAAGAGCUGGCAGUCUGGUUUUUGGGGGGCAGAAAAGGAAAACAGUAUUGAGGAUAAAAUAACUUUUGAUGUAUAAUGAAUCUUAGAAAUUACUGCUUCUUGCAUCCUUAGGAAACUGACUGGUCUUCCUCCAAAACGAAUAAUCCUGCUCGCUGGUCAGGUACAGAGCUGCAGAAUGACAGUUCAAGUUAGAUUCCACUGGAUUUCUUUCACAGAACGACCCAGCAUUUUGCCCCUGUAGCACUUUGACUGGCACACAAAAGCCAACAAUCAAACCAGGAUGUCUUGUUCAACAGUGCAGAACACUAACCAUGGAUUCUGAUGUCUGUUCCCUUUCAGUCUCUACACUUCCUCCUGUGUUUUAGAGAAAGUGUCAGUGUUCAUGAUGUCAGCAGAGUGUGUUUCUGUCUCUGAGCCUUUGUACUGGGUUAUAAUACAGACAGAUUCCCAAGACUUUACUCCAGCUAAAGUUAAAAGAUAGAAGGUAACUUUCUGUUCAGUGUGUCCUAUGUAAAUCCUGUCUGCUUCUCUCCACUUCCCCUCCAAAUGAGUGUGUUUGCAGGUCAAAUAAAAGGCAGGUAGUUUGUAAUGCCUUAGGCAUGAAGAACUGCAUGGAGAAACUGAAGGAAAGCAGCACAGGCCCACAAACCAGAUCUUAGAGCUAGUAUUCUAAUUAUGCAUGAUUCAAAAUGUCUAGUGUAAUGUAGUUAUUACCAGUAAAUUGAGAUAUGCAUUUAUACAUAAUGAAGCAAUAGGAAUUAAUAUACCAAUAGCUUGAACUUCCUGCUUUGAUUCUCAAAUUUCGGGGUGUUUUUUUUUUUUUUUUUUUGUUUUAGAGAAUGUGCUGCCUCUGUAGAGAAGAGGCAGAAUGUAUAGAUAGGGACAGAAGCAUGGCACCAAAACUGUAAAUCAGGAACCAGGAUCAGCAGAACUCGCCUUUAUAACCUCUUGUCUGGUUCAUAUCACUGUCCUGAGCAUGUAAAAAGCAGGGCAUGAACUAAGCAUGUUUAGAGGCGAGAUGAGGUUUCUCACCUGCUGCAGCUGUAGCAAGGAAAAGGGUGCAGAGUUUCUUACACGGUGCAUGGGGAGCGACUGGUGGGAAAGAAAAAAAACCAAACCCCCCAAAAAAUCACCCCCAAACCCAAGCCAACAAACAAGUAACGCAAACCACAGACUCAAAUUGAGUGUAGUAUUUGCCAGACAGUAGGUAAUAAGCUUGAAUGUGAGAGAAAUUAUUUGGAGAAGACUGAAAUUAAUAAGCACAGUACAUAUUUUUCAGGUGUUGAAUAGCUUUUUAAUAGACAGUAUUUUCAGGUCACUAGCCACAUAGGCAGCUGUACUGAAGCAUACUGGUACCAGCCAGCAAUAAAGGCAUCCGCAGGAAUGAACCUGAAAAUACUGAUAAUCUUGUAUAUUUUUUAAGUUCUUUAAAGAGAUUUUUAAAAACAGAAAAUGAGAUUUGUUUACUGAAGGUCUAUCUUCUGCAACAGAGGUUGCAAUUGUCUUUUUUCUUUAUUUCCAUUACUGAUUAAAAGGGAAUUUGGGUGCCAUCUUUCUGUAAACUCUAGUGUGUUCUCUGUAAUUCAAGUCUCUUAGUGGAUAAUGCAGUCAAUUUCUGCUGGCAGUUUGAAAAUAAGAGAAUGUGGGGCAUAGCCUACAUCACUAAUACUUUUCCAAGUUUAAACUUGUAAUUAAACAUGUUAAAUACUGGCUUGUUACUGCAGAAUUCCAUACUUGUAGCUUAGCUUAAUUUUGUAAGUGGGCUUAACUUGUGCAGAAGACUUCUCCAUGUACAGAGGCCCAGUCCUCUCUCUUAAGUAGAAAGAAGUGUCUUGGAGGAAGAAAAGGUGUGUCAAGUUAAUUCUUGUUCGUAUUUCAUAGCCAACCAUUCAUAAAGCACUGUGUUUUGGGUUUAGAAUGGGAAUUGUGGUUUUACCCAUGAAUGCUCUUUUUAGGUAUGUAAGGAUUGCCAAAUGAAGAUAGGGAUAUUCUAAGAGAAGAUAACUAUUCCAUGGUAUCACAAGUUAGACUGAAUCAAAGUCUUUGAGCCAACUUCUUCAAGAAACAAGAAAAUUUCCAAGACAAAUUUAGCCCAGUGAUUAACCAUGGUCAUUUUUACUUCUUUAGAACACUAUGCAUGGUUUUAAAGUCUGUUAAUUUUUUUUUUUUUUUUGUAAUGAGUAAGCCAUUGUAUCCUUUGUUAUUUCCCUUCAGUAUAACCUGGGGGAUAAGCUACUUCAGGAUGUCAGUGAUGUUAUUUUCCUUUUGAAAAAUAUAACAGCAAAGGAGAAGUAUUAGGUAUAAAAUUCCUAAAAAUUACCUUAACACUUAAUAGGCUAAAGAAUACUUAUACUGAACUUCUGAUAGCAUUCUUGCAUGGAUUAGUAGAGGAAAUUAUUGGUGUGACUAUGAACUAUGUACUCCCAUUGCACACGUUUUACAUGGUAACAGUGAAAGAAUGUCUCCCUGCAAAUUCUGAUUUUUUUCAAAAGGCAGCUUGCUUUUAUAUCUAUGCAUCUUUGAGGAUUUCAAGAUAAGAUUUUAUUCUUUUGACACUGUAAAGAGGAACUGUUUAAAAAUGAACCUGGAAACUCUGCACCUGUAUACAAAAUUUUUUAGCAAUAAAGCAGCACAGGCUGAGAAUGCA